UGGGGAAUAUUGGACAAUGGGGGCAACCCUGAUCCACCCAUGCCGCGUGUGUGAAGAAGGCCUUUUGGUUGUAAAGCACUUUAAGCAGUGAAGAAGACUCCAUGGUUAAUACCCAUGGACGAUGACAUUAGCUGCAGAAUAAGCACCGGCUAACUCUGUGCCAGCAGCCGCGGUAAUACAGAGGGUGCAAGCGUUAAUCGGAAUUACUGGGCGUAAAGCGAGCGUAGGUGGCUUGAUAAGUCAGAUGUGAAAGCCCCGGGCUUAACCUGGGAACGGCAUCUGAUACUGUUAGGCUAGAGUAGGUGAGAGGAAGGUAGAAUUCCAGGUGUAGCGGUGAAAUGCGUAGAGAUCUGGAGGAAUACCGAUGGCGAAGGCAGCCUUCUGGCAUCAUACUGACACUGAGGUUCGAAAGCGUGGGUAGCAAACA
rnacentral:rRNA from 1 species